rnacentral:rRNA from 1 species
GAUUACCUCAGUAACGGCGAGUGAAGCGGUAACAGCUCAAAUUUGAAAUCUGGCAGCAAUGUCCGAGUUGUAAUUUGUAGAGGAUGUUUCGAGCAUGGUCUGGCCUAAGUUCCUUGGAACAGGACGUCAUAGAGGGUGAGAAUCCCGUAUGCGGUCAGGUGCCUACGCUCAUGUGAAACUCCUUCGACGAGUCGAGUUGUUUGGGAAUGCAGCUCAAAAUGGGUGGUAAAUUUCAUCUAAAGCUAAAUAUUGGCCAGAGACCGAUAGCGCACAAGUAGAGUGAUCGAAAGAUGAAAAGCACUUUGGAAAGAGAGUUAAACAGUACGUGAAAUUGUUGAAAGGGAAGCGCUUGCAACCAGACUUGCACGCAGCUGAUCAUCCGCUGUUCUCAGUGGUGCACUCGGUUGCGUUCAGGCCAGCAUCGGUUUUGGUGGUGGGAUAAAGGCCUUAGGAAUGUAGCUGCUUUCGGGCAGUGUUAUAGCCUAGGGUGCAAUGCCGCCUACUGGGACCGAGGACCGCGCUUCGGCUAGGAUGCUGGCGUAAUGGUUGUAAGCGACCCGUCUUGAAACACGGACCAAGGAGUCUAACAUCUAUGCGAGUGUUUGGGUGUCAAACCCAUACGCGUAAUGAAAGUGAACGGAGGUCAGAACCCUUAAGGGUGCAUGAUCGACCGGUCCUGAAGUCUUCGGAUGGAUCUGAGUAAGAGCAUAGCUGUUGGGACCCGAAAGAUGGUGAACUAUGCCUGAAUAGGGUGAAGCCAGAGGAAACUCUGGUGGAGGCUCGCAGCGGUUCUGACGUGCAAAUCGAUC